rnacentral:rRNA from 1 species
CAAUAGCGUAUAUUAAAGUUGUUGCAGUUAAAAAGCUCGUAGUUGGAUUUCUGGUGGGAGCGAUCGGUCUGGCGCUUAGCGCGAGUACUUGCAUCGUCUCCGGCCAUCCUUGGGGAGAGUCUGUCUGGCAUUAGGUUGUCGGGCAGAGGAUCUUCAUCGUUUACUGUGAAAAAAUUAGAGUGUUCAAAGCAGGCUUAUGCCGUUGAAUAUAUUAGCAUGGAAUAAUAAGAUAGGACUUUGGUACUAUUUUGUUGGUUUGCGCACCAAAGUAAUGAUUAAUAGGGACAGUUGGGGGUAUUCGUAUUCCGUUGUCAGAGGUGAAAUUCUUGGAUUUACUGAAGACUAACUACUGCGAAAGCAUUUACCAAGGACGUUUUCAUUAA